rnacentral:rRNA from 1 species
UGAGCAAUCUGCCCUUCUCUUCGGAAUAAGCGUUGGAAACGACGUCUAAUGCCGAAUACGACCUCCUUUCGCAUGAUCGGAGGUGGAAAGCUCCGGCGGAGAAGGAUGAGCUCGCGGCCUAUCAGCUAGUUGGUGUGGGUAAUGGCCCACAAGGCGACGACGAGUAGCCGGCCUGAGAGGGUGACCCGGCCACACGUGGGACUGAGACACGGCCAGACUCCGUACGGGAGCAG